GUGGAGUUGCCGGAUCGUUGUCUCGUCCGGCAAUGAAAAGGGAAUCAGGUGUAAAUCCUGAACAGAUCCACUGCUGUAAGUUUCAUAACACUUUUCGGACGUGCUUUAUCCACUGUUCCUCGUUUGGAAUGGGAAGGAAACCGAAAAGGAAACAAGUCAGAAGACCUGCCACGUGAUUCAUUGUUUA
rnacentral:ncRNA from 2 species